rnacentral:rRNA from 2 species
UGGCGGCGUGCCUAAUACAUGCAAGUCGAGCGAACAGAUGAGAAGCUUGCUUCUCUGAUGUUAGCGGCGGACGGGUGAGUAACACGUGGGUAACCUACCUAUAAGACUGGGAUAACUCCGGGAAACCGGGGCUAAUACCGGAUAAUAUAUUGAACCGCAUGGUUCAAUGUUGAAAGACGGUUUCGGCUGUCACUUAUAGAUGGACCCGCGCCGUAUUAGCUAGUUGGUAAGGUAACGGCUUACCAAGGCAACGAUACGUAGCCGACCUGAGAGGGUGAUCGGCCACACUGGAACUGAGACACGGUCCAGACUCCUACGGGAGGCAGCAGUAGGGAAUCUUCCGCAAUGGGCGAAAGCCUGACGGAGCAACGCCGCGUGAGUGAUGAAGGUCUUAGGAUCGUAAAACUCUGUUGUUAGGGAAGAACAAAUUUGUUAGUAACUGAACAAGUCUUGACGGUACCUACCAAAUUUCCACGGCUAAUUACUAAAA